rnacentral:rRNA from 1 species
GAGGGGGCAGGCGUUAUUCGGAAUUAUUGGGCGUAAAGGGCGCGUAGGCGGCCUAGCAAGUGACGGGUGAAAUCCCUCGGCUUAACCGAGGAACUGCCUGUCAGACUGCUGGGCUUGAGACCGGGAGAGGUGAGUGGAAUUCCCAGUGUAGCGGUGAAAUGCGUAGAUAUUGGGAGGAACACCAGUGGCGAAGGCGGCUCACUGGACCGGUACUGACGCUGAGGCGCGAAAGCGUGGGGAGCAAACAGGAUUAGAUACCCUGGUAGUCCACGCCGUAAACGAUGAGUGCUUGGUGUAGCGGGUAUCGACCCCUGCUGUGCCGAAGUCAACACAUUAAGCACUCCGCCUGGGGAGUACGGUCGCAAGACUG